rnacentral:rRNA from 1 species
UACAGAGGGUGCGAGCGUUGUCCGGAAUCACUGGGCGUAAAGGGCGCGUAGGCGGCCCGGUAAGGUUGCGGUGAAAGCCCGGGGCUCAACCCCGGGUCGGCCGUGGCAACUGCCGGGCUGGAGCACAGUAGAGGCGGGUGGAAUUCCGGGUGUAGCGGUGGAAUGCGUAGAGAUCCGGAAGAACACCGGUGGCGAAGGCGGCCCGCUGGGCUGUUGCUGACGCUGAGGCGCGACAGCGUGGGGAGCAAACAGG